CCCCAAAACUAAAACACAAACCCUAAGCGGCUAAGCUCAGUCUCGACUCUGAACCUCCAUUCUGAACCCAUUUACUUCGGCUCCUCCCAAAACUCAACCCUAAGUUUCGUCGAACUCGCCGCCAUUGUUACCCUCGUCGAUCGCCUCCUUCAUCCAGUCCUUCGUCUUACACGCGCCUCCCACUACGACACCUCCGACCCUAUCUGUAAUCCGUCUCUGCCUCCUUUGUUUGUCCUUUUUCUCUCAAGCCUUACCCUAAUCUCACAGUACCCACAAUCUCACAUCCAACACAAAGCGCAUCCUCUCAUCGACUCUCUCUUUUCAAUGCUGGCUACCCAACUUCUCUGUCAUCCUUGGCCGUUACCCAUCAGUUUGCAAUUAUCAAAGGUAUAUAAUUUCAUAGAUCUGUUGCUUCUUUCAAUAAUACCUUCUGGGCUGGUAAUACCUUUCAGAUUUAGGGUUUUAUAGCUAAUAUCGCAGAUUUGUCUCAUGGAUUUUGAUGUUUUCCCCUGUCAUUUCUUUUUUAUUAAGGAUUUUUGGAUAAUCUGUGAGUUGAGCUGAUUUUCAUCUUCUUACUUCAAAUCUUCGUGUGCGUAUCCAUGUGUUGUUGUAUAGAGAUUCAUUUGCUUGUGAUUUUUGCUCUUUGUUUUGUGCAUGUCGAACUAUCAGAACAUAUUCCGGAUACUGGUCUUUGUGGUGUGGUGCUGCAUUCUAAGGCUUUGCAAUCACAAAUUAAGAUGCAAGUUAGAUACAAUAUGUUUGAUUGCAUUUGUUUUUGGAUUUUUGUGUAUCCAAUUGCUGUUUAGGUUGAGAACAUGUAUGGAAAUGAUGACGGUGAGUUUAGCAGUUUAUUACUAGUUUCAAGGGGCUGUGGGUAUUUGAAUUUCUUACUGGUGUGAUAAAUUUUCAAGCUUGUAUGGGGUAAAAGUUAAUUGAGUUUGGUGAAAAAUGAGGCAAAUUGGUAUAAAGAUAAGAUAUGAGGGAGCAUAUGGAGCAGAUCUGCAGGUUGAACAUAAAUUGUGGGAGUUAAGCGCAAAACGAUGAGCGAAAAAACAAACAGGCUGAAUCUGCCUGUUUAGUUACGCAAAACCAACAUCACAAAUGUAAACUCUGCAUCUGCAUGCUAUUUCAGUAUUUCUUCCUCUGGAUCUUAUUAUUUAUUUCAGGAUGACCACGUGAACUCCAUCUUGGAAGGUAUUUCAAACCGAGCAUGCAGUCAAGGGAUUGCUGAAGAUGAACUGGCAACCUUGUAGUCCAUCUUGGUGAAGCUUCUUUCUUAUGACGAGGAUUUACAAUACGUAAUUGCUAUGACCCCUUUUCUGAAGAUCUUGGAUUUAAUGCAUGGAAGUUCACAAAGCAUCGUCAAUAUGCAGAUCCUUGACAUGGGGAUAAGACAUUCAGAAGUCCCAACUUGUGAACUUUCGGGAACUAUUCAAAUUUACCCAUAGUGUGCACUUCCAUGAGUUCCAUCAAUUUU